rnacentral:siRNA from 1 species
UGAUUAUGGGGUAUUCCGCUU